UGAUCUGACGCCAUUUUAACAUAAAGGAAAAAAUCGUCUAGGGAUAAACUCGCUUUGGGGAGUCGUGUUUUUUAAGUGGUAUUAAAAUUUCAAUAAAGACAAUGAGUAACGGUGGAGGUGCCGGGGGAUUGGGCGCAGCGCGUCCGCCUCCCAGAAUCGAUGGAAUGGUCUCACUGAAGGUCGACAAUCUCACAUACCGCACCACGCCGGAGGACCUGCGUCGGGUCUUCGAGAGAUGCGGCGAGGUGGGCGACAUCUACAUACCCAGGGAUCGCUACACACGCGAGAGCCGUGGAUUCGCCUUUGUGCGCUUCUAUGACAAACGCGAUGCCGAGGACGCACUGGAGGCCAUGGACGGUCGCAUGUUAGACGGCAGGGAGCUCCGUGUCCAGAUGGCCCGAUACGGCCGCCCGUCGUCGCCCACUCGCAGUUCCAGCGGUCGUCGUGGCGGAGGAGGAGGAGGUGGAUCCGGCGGACGUCGUCGCUCACGAUCUCGCUCUCCGAUGCGUCGCCGGUCUCGCAGCCCGCGCCGCCGCUCCUACUCUCGCUCCCGCUCGGCUGGUAGCCAUUCGCCGGAGCGCCGAUCCAAGUUCUCGCGCAGUCCAGUGCGCGGCGACAGCCGCAACGGAAUCGGAAGCGGGACCGGGGCACUGGGCACAGCCGCGUCUCGCAGCCGCAGUCGCUCCUAAACAUCGAAGAAACGUUCCAUCUUGUAAGAGGGCGAGGUAUGGCUCGCUGACAAAGACCACAUCCGAAUCCUGUGCCGGAUCUGUGGCUCCUACUGUGUCAUGCUGUACCCGAACAGCAGGCAAAUGGUGUGUGGCAGUUGUUGCGGUUCAGAUAAGAUUGUGGUUAAAUCGCGAGGGAGGAUCAGCAGCAGCGCAUCAUCUAAGCUACAACUCCUUCCUCCCGGGAGCGGACAUCGCGUGGCUGCUGUUUGUUGCUGCUACUGCAGAUGCUGAUGCUGCUGCUGUCGCACGUUGCUGUUGCUGCUGCUGUCGCACGAUGCUGCUGCUGGUGCCGCUGAUGUUGCAGUCGCAGUUGCCGUAGCAGCUUCCCGUUUCCUGUUAGCCGCUGCCGCUGCCACAGCUCCAGAUUCUGGGAGCCCAGCUUGGGAGCUGGGAGCAGCAGUCACUCAUAGUUUCCUGUUACCCGUCACUUCUUCUCUCGUCUCAUCUCGUCUCGCGAUUUGUUGCUGGUUGGCGUUGUUGGUGUUUUCCUGUCGUUGGUGGGCGUCCCUUUUGACUUUAGGGGAAAAAACAUUUCCAGCAGAGCUACGCCGACGAUGCGGUGGAUGUCCAAUUGGGGAUCACGAACUGACUUGUGAGAUUUAGAUACCUUCAAUUACCUUGACGAUUUGGUAAGUGUGAAAACUAACCUCUUAUUUUGCAGCUUAAGUAACGACUCAAUAAAAUUUAACUUGAUUUAAUGUAAA